rnacentral:rRNA from 1 species
UUUCUGGUUGAUCCCGCCGGACCUGACUGCUAUCGGAUUGAUACUAAGCCAUGCGAGUCAUUGUAGUAAUACAAGGCAUACGGCUCAGUAACGCGUAGUCAACCUAACCUAUGGACGGGAAUAACCUCGGGAAACUGAGUAUAAUGCCCGAUAGAACAUUAUGCCUGGAAUGGUUUAUGUUCCAAAUGAUUUAUCGCCGUAGGAUGGGACUGCGGCCUAUCAGUUUGUUGGUGAGGUAAUGGCCCACCAAGACUAUUACAGGUACGGGCUCUGAGAGGAGUAGCCCGGAGAUGGGUACUGAGACACGGACCCAGGCCCUAUGGGGCGCAGCAGGCGAGAAAACUUUGCAAUGUGCGAAAGCACGACAAGGUUAAUCCGAGUGGUUUCUGCUAAAGGAACCUUUUGUUAGUCCUAGAAACACUAACGAAUAAGGGGUGGGCAAGUUCUGGUGUCAGCCGCCGCGGUAAAACCAGCACCUCAAGUGGUCAGGAUGAUUAUUGGGCCUAAAGCAUCCGUAGCCGGCUCUGUAAGUUUUCGGUUAAAUCUGUACGCUCAACGUACAGGCUGCCGGGAAUACUGCAGAGCUAGGGAGUGGGAGAGGUAGACGGUACUCGGGAGGAAGGGGUAAAAUCCUUUGAUCUCUCGAUGACCACCUGUGGCGAAGGCGGUCUACCAGAACACGUCCGACGGUGAGGGAUGAAAGCUGGGGGAGCAAACCGGAUUAGAUACCCGGGUAGUCCCAGCUGUAAACUAUGCAAACUCAGUGAUGCAUUGACUUGUGGUCAAUGCAGUGCUGCAGGGAAGCCGUUAAGUUUGCCGCCUGGGAAGUACGUACGCAAGUAUGAAACUUAAAGGAAUUGGCGGGGGAGCACCACAAGGGGUGAAGCCUGCGGUUCAAUUGGAUUCAACGCCGGG